GACAUGGGGUAUCUUGGACAUGUCUGAAGCAUGAAAUGGUUAACAAAACUCCAGGCUUGCUCUCUCUAUUGCAAAGAAACAGAUAUUUCCUUCAAAGAGGCAGAUCAGCUAACAUCCCAGGCAUGACUGUCACAGUGCUUUGUACCUAGCAAGAACCUUGAUGGCAGAAUUGCAAUGUAGAUGCCUACCUUCCAAGUGGAGGAGAACCUAAUUACUUCUGUGCUGUUUACCUUGUACUGGCUGCAAGUUCACUUCUGUGUGAUAUUUAAGGAAGAAGGGCCCACAAUCAUUCAGAAGACACAUGAGCUCAUUUGGCUACCCCUCGAUGGUAGCAAUACAAGGAUCUGUGAUGCUUAUGAGACUACA